UACGUAGGGUGCAAGCGUUAAUCGGAAUUACUGGGCGUAAAGCGUGCGCAGGCGGUUCGCUAAGACCGAUGUGAAAUCCCCGGGCUUAACCUGGGAACUGCAUUGGUGACUGGCGGGCUAGAGUAUGGCAGAGGGGGGUAGAAUUCCACGUGUAGCAGUGAAAUGCGUAGAGAUGUGGAGGAAUACCGAUGGCGAAGGCAGCCCCCUGGGCCAAUACUGACACUGAGAGACGAAAGCUAGGGGAGCAAACGGG
rnacentral:rRNA from 1 species